CACGGAGGGGACUAGCGUUGUUCGGAAUUACUGGGCGUAAAGCGCACGUAGGCGGAUUCGUAAGUCAGGGGUGAAAUCCCGAGGCUCAACCUCGGAACUGCCUUUGAUACUGCGAAUCUCGAGUCCGGAAGAGGUGAGUGGAAUUCCUAGUGUAGAGGUGAAAUUCGUAGAUAUUAGGAAGAACACCAGUGGCGAAGGCGGCUCACUGGUCCGGUACUGACGCUGAGGUGCGAAAGCGUGGGGAGCAAACAGG
rnacentral:rRNA from 1 species